UAAAAGCUACUCAUAUUGUAGCUGUAGUCUUUAAGAAGAAGCAGGAAGAAAAGAAUGCAAAGAAUAAAUUAGUGACACUCAAACCAUAGUAAAACAAGAUGGGGUGGAGUGGUGAUCUCAUUUGAAAGUCUACUAAAAAACAAAGAAGCUCUUCAAAAAACAGUAAUAACUGAGGAUCUUGAAGUACCCAGAAGUGUAAGGAACACCGUACUUUAUGAGGAUGUCUUCUGGGUUCAGUUGCAGAACUCCCUGAAGAUUCUAAAGCCAAUUUCUUCAGCAAUCACUGCAUCUGAAUUAGACAGUGCACGUUGUCAGAUAUUCCUUACCAAAUAGCCCAGAUAAAAUCAACUAUUUUUGAGAAUCUAAAUGUAUCUCCAUUUACAAGUACAGAAGAAAGAAAAGUGAAAGACUUUAUUAAUAGAUGGGAAGAAUUUUGUUGCCCAUCAAUUCAUGCUGUUGCAAAUCUCUUGAAUCCAAAAUUCAAAGGCAGAAAUGUUAGUGAUAAUAGCACUGCUACUGUGUUUCACUGGAUUGCAAAACAAGCAACACACUUAGGACUUGAUGUUGGGAAAGUACCUUCAAAGGUUGCAGAAUACAGAACAUCUUCAGGUAUUUGGUCCAGGAACGCAGUCUGUGACUGCCAGCACGUCCCUCCUGCAACAUUGUGGCAAGGCCUUUGCACAACACAGCCUCUGACUCCUCUUGCUUCUCACCUGCUUCAGAUUCCUCCAUCUGCUGCAGUAUGUGAAAGAAACUAGUCUAUGUUUGGAAAUACUCACACCAAAUCAAGAAAUAAACUAACAUGUGAAAGAGUAGAGAAGCUUGUCUCAAUCCAGGCAAACCUUCUGUUUUCAGAAGUCCAUGAAGAUGAUAAAAAUGAAGGAUCAAAAGAAGCAGAAACUGCUGACAGUGAUAGCUCAGAAAAUGAGACUGAUUAGGCAAAGUUUCAUGUAGCAAAAAUUGUAUUCAAUGAGUCUUGGGGUUUUCUUUCUGAAU